rnacentral:rRNA from 1 species
GACGAACGCUGGCGGCGUGCCUAACACAUGCAAGUCGAACGGAGUUGUUCCUUCGGGGACAACUUAGUGGCGAACGGGUGAGUAACGCGUGAGGAACCUGCCUUUCAGUGGGGGACAACAGUUGGAAACGACUGCUAAUACCGCAUGAUGUAGCGAGGGGGCAUCCCUUUGCUACCAAAGCUUUAUGUGCUGAAAGAUGGUCUCGCGUCUGAUUAGCUAGUUGGUGAGGUAACGGCCCACCAAGGCGACGAUCAGUAGCCGGUCUGAGAGGAUGAACGGCCACAUUGGGACUGAGAUACGGCCCAGACUCCUACGGGAGGCAGCAGUAGGGAAUAUUGGGCAAUGGGGGGAAACCCUGACCCAGCAACGCCGCGUGAAGGAAG